rnacentral:rRNA from 1 species
AGCGAACGCUGGCGGCGUGCCUAACACAUGCAAGUCGAACGUGAAAAGGGAAACCUGAGUAAACUGGCGUACGGGUGAGUAACGCGUAGGUAAUCUACCCCAGAAUCUGGAAUAACCUGCCGAAAGGCGGGCUAAUACUGGAUAGAGCGAGGGAACUCGUAAGAGAGUUUUUCGGGAAAGGGAGCCCGCAAGGGCCUUCGUUCUGGGAUGAGCCUGCGUCUCAUUAGCUAGUUGGUAAGGUAACGGCUUACCAAGGCGAUGAUGAGUAGCUGGUCUGAGAGGAUGAUCAGCCACACUGGAACUGAAACACGGUCCAGACUCCUACGGGAGGCAGCAGUGGGGAAUCUUGCGCAAUGGACGAAAGUCUGACGCAGCCACGCCGCGUGAGUGAAGAAGGCCUUCGGGUUGUAAAGCUCUGUCGGAUGGGACGAACAUCUUCAUAGUGAAUAGCUAUGAGGACUGACGGUACCAUCAAAGGAAGCACCGGCUAACUCCGUG